GAUGAAGAACGUAGCGAAAUGCGAUAAGUAAUGUGAAUUGCGGAAUUCAGUGAAUCAUCGAAUCUUUGAACGCACAUUGCGCCCUCUGGUAUUCCGGGGGGCAUGCCUGUUCGAGCGUCAUUACAACCCUCAAGCUUUGCUUGGUAUUGGACAUUGCCAGUUUCUGGCAGGUCUUAAAAUCAGUGGCGGUGCCAUUUGGCUUCAAGCGUAGUAAUUCUUCUCGCUUUGGAGAUCCAGGUGGUUACUUGCCAAUAACCCCCAAUUUUUUCAGGUUGACCUCGGAUCAGGUAGGGAUACCCGCUGAACUUAAGCAUAUCAAUAAGCGGAGGA
rnacentral:misc_RNA from 1 species